rnacentral:lncRNA from 1 species
CAACUACCCUAGGGCAAACUGUCUUAGAGACAGUCCUCAGGGAAGCUGCAGAAAAGGCCGGAGCCAAGGCCUGGAGGUGGAAGAGGGGAUGCAGACCCUCCCUGGCAACAAGAAAAGGGCAAACUCCAACCGCAGGGAGAUGAUGCCACUUGUGGGCUCUCAGAUUGGAGGGAAACGAGCUGAGUGACGGGGCCUCGCGCACAGCUCGGUGGAGGGAGAGACAGUGCGUGCGGAGGUGGAGGGGAGGGUCCUGUUGAACUCCCCACCAGCCCCUGGGAGGGGAGAUCGGAGGGUGAGCUCGGCGGUGACGCGGGGCCCUCACGUGACCGCGAGCUGCAGAGCGACGCAGCCUUCGGUGCAGUCGUCACUCCAGUCUGGGUACCAGCUCCCCGCUUCCCUGCACACGGCGGGCUGGCAUCGGGCCCCGCGGCAAGUGGAGCAGUGAUUCGUGUGGCAGUGUUUGUGGCGAGGCGAGGGAAGAAGAGGAGCAAACUGCACAGGAUCUGCGGAGGUCUUCCCAUAGGGCAACAGUAG